rnacentral:rRNA from 1 species
UACGUAGGGUGCAAGCGUUGUCCGGAAUCAUUGGGCGUAAAGAGCGUGUAGGCGGCCCGAUAAGUCCGCUGUGAAAGUCCAGGGCUCAACCCUGGAAUGCCGGUGGAUACUGUCGGGCUAGAGUCCGGAAGGGGCGAGUGGAAUUCCUGGUGUAGCGGUGGAAUGCGCAGAUAUCAGGAGGAACACCAAUAGCGAAGGCAGCUCGCUGGGACGUUACUGACACUGAGGCGCGAAAGCGUGGGGAGCGAACAGG